UACGGGGGGGGCAAGCGUUGUUCGGAAUUACUGGGCGUAAAGGGCUCGUAAGUGGCCAACUAAGUCAGACGUGAAAUCCCUCAGCUUAACUGGGGAACUGCGUCUGAUACUGGAUGGCUUGAGUUUGGGAGAGGGACGCGGAAUUCCAGGUGUAGCGGUGAAAUGCGUAGAUAUCUGGAGGAACACCGGUGGCGAAGGCGGCGUCCUGGACCAACACUGACACUGAUGAGCGAAAGCCAGGGGAGCAAACGGG
rnacentral:rRNA from 1 species